CCGCCAUUAGUUCAUUAGGAAAGAGCGCCAGCCUUCGAAGCUGGUUGCGUGGGGUUCGGGUCCCCGAUGGCGGUCCA
rnacentral:tRNA from 1 species